AUUGAACGCUGGCGGCAGGCUUAACACAUGCAAGUCGAGCGGGGUGAUGGUGCUUGCACUAUCACUUAGCGGCGGACGGGUGAGUAAUGCUUAGGAAUCUGCCUAUUAGUGGGGGACAACAUCUCGAAAGGGAUGCUAAUACCGCAUACGUCCUACGGGAGAAAGCAGGGGAUCACUUGUGACCUUGCGCUAAUAGAUGAGCCUAAGUCGGAUCAGCUAGUUGGUGGGGUAAAGGCCUACCAAGGCGACGAUCUGUAGCGGGUCUGAGAGGAUGAUCCGCCACACUGGGACUGAGACACGGCCCAGACUCCUACGGGAGGCAGCAGUGGGGAAUAUUGGACAAUGGGGGGAACCCUGAUCCAGCCAUGCCGCGUGUGUGAAGAAGGCUUUAUGGUUGUAAAGCACUUUAAGCGAGGAGGAGGCUCUUUUGGUUAAUACCCAGGAUGAGUGGACGUUACUCGCAGAAUAAGCACCGGCUAACUCUGUGCCAGCAGCCGCCGUAA
rnacentral:rRNA from 1 species